CCUACGGGUGGCAGCAGUGGGGAAUAUUGGGCAAUGGGCGCAAGCCUGACCCAGCAACGCCGCGUGAAGGAAGAAGGCUUUCGGGUUGUAAACUUCUUUUCUCAGGGACGAAGAAAGUGACGGUACUUGCGGAAUAAGCUACGGCUAACUACGGGCCAGAAACCGCGGUAAUACGUAGGUGGCAAGCGUUAUCCGGAUUUAUUGGGUGUAAAGGGCGGGUAGGCGGGGGGGCAAGUCAGAUGUGAAAGCUCAGGGCUAAACCCGGAGCCUGCAUUUGAAACUGUGUUUCUUGAGUGCGGGAGAGGCAAUCGGAAUUCCGUGUGUAGCAGUGAAAUGCGUAGAUAUACGGAGGAACACCAGUGGCGAAGGCGGAUUGCUGGACAGUAACUGACGCUGAGGCGCGAAAGCGUGGGGAGCAAACAGGAUUAGAUACCCGAGUAGUC
rnacentral:rRNA from 1 species